CGGAGAAUAACGACAUUCACCAAUAUUCAUCUUUUACCGUAACAUAUGCAUCCAGUCCAAAAGUGUUUCGACCCUUAAAUAUGCGAUUUUUGAAAAAUCCUUUCUUAUUACUCGGUGAAAGACUUCCAAAUGUCAGGUGUGUACGUUGAAUAGUUUUUGAGAUUCAGCGAUCAGUGAGUCAGUGGUAUUUGGAUUUUAUAUUUCUAUUAUAUAUAUAAUAUGAGUAUUUGUGUACGCUGAGAUUAUUUCUAUCGAUAAACUUCCCGGAACAAUUAUUCUAUAGUUUAUUCAGAAUAAAAGUGCCCAGUCAUUUGGACGAAAACUAGUUUUUAUUGCGCAUGGUUCCUUUCCACUAGGAACGUUGUAGUAUGCCGACGCGUUACGACGCUGUUAUACGUAAUGAACUGUAUUACCACAUUCUUCUCGUAACGCCAAGCUAUAGUUCUAUUUUGAAUAACAAGGGGCGGAAAAGAAGACCAAGGGCCGCGAAUCUGACCAUCCUGAUCUGGAGCGUUGAGCUGGUUACACACUACGCGCAGUGUAUAACCGCCAUUGGAGGGACUCGGUAUACCAUAUCGAAUUUCGAGUUCACGCGUUUUGUUAUUUUUGAGACGUAGCGUUCAAUGACGAGUGAGCGGGGAUUUUACAUGGGAUGGAACGUGCGCUGCAUGUGACGGGCGAGAGGCGUGUGUACGCGUUAUGUAUACCAUAAAGUGAACAGCUGUGUUGGAAUGAAUACAUAUCUGCCGAAAUCGUUUGCGUUUUGCACGUAAAGCAGUGACUCACGAAGGCGGCGGUGACCGGGGUACAGCGUUGACACAGCCGCGGCCGUUAGGUUAGCCUAUACUUUGCAGACUGCGGAACUUUUUGUAUCAUUGUACCAAUGGUAUUACACGCCUGCUUCGGUUCAUAAAAUUUUAAUCCAUGGUACAGACGUAAUACGUUCUGCUUUAUUACCUAUUGGCCAGUUGUCGGAAAAGGCACAAGAGGCCCGGAAUAAAAAUUUCAGAAAUAUAAGAAAAAAUAAUACACACAAAACAAAGUCUCAUAAAAUUAGGAUUUAGCCCAUAUGCUGCUUGUGUCUUUGGAUCCCUACAUUUCUAGCUAAAAAAAAUUCGAAAAUCAAUAUGAAACCGCUGGAUGAAGAUAUGAGAGCUCUAAUGAUAAUCGAUUCUGACGAAAAUAAUGACUCCGACAAUAAUAGUGACGAUGACAGUGAU